rnacentral:rRNA from 1 species
GUAACAAGGUUUCCGUAGGUGAACCAGCGG